AACGUUUGUUCCCACUUAGAUUUGCUUCCCUAUUCUACAAACUCUGGAAUAAGCUACAGCUACUACUCUUUUCCUAUGUUUUAAGUUUUUUUUUUUGAUUUUUUAGUUACCUUCAAUCAAGCUUCCAGUGGGAGUGUAGUAAUUUGGCAACAUUAAUAAAGGGGACCUUGAUGGGUAUUUGUAAUUUGUCACAACAAAUGUCUGGUUUGUUCAUGCUUAAAUACACAUUACAUCCACAUCACAAAAGGAAUAAGCUACAACUUUUGCUGGCCUAAGGCUCAAUUCUGUCUUUUAAAUAACCUUGUCAUGUUAAAUCACACCGCUGAGUUCUAAAUAAAUAGAAAAUCUGAUUAGUAAAAUAGCAAAUUUAACGGAGAAACAAAAUGUGGAUAACUUUUUUAAAGAAGAAAAAUCUCAUGAGUAACUAGGCGAGCAAGAUAACUAGAGCGGGACAAACUAAUAAACCUAUAAGUGAGAAGUAAAUAGUUUUUAAGUGUUUUUAAACCAAAGUUCCUCUUCUUAAAUUAGUUUAACAAGAAAAUGAGUGUAAUUGAAGAUCGUACAACUCCUUCAUAGCAUAUGAAAAUAUGGUAUGCUGUUAUCUACGUCGGUUGCAAAUACAACAACUUCAAAACUUCUCUCAUACAAUUCCCACACUCUACACUGCUAACACUGCUAAGAUGUAACAGAAUAGCGAGUGUUAGUCAUGUGUCCUAAAGAGGUGUCUUCUUGAUUAAUCAUUAGGAAUCAAUUCUACAAUGGAGCUUUUACAUGAAAUUUUAAAUUUCAUUUUUUAAAACAUGUUUAGGCGUAUUCAGAUUCGUAAAUAUUAUAUUUAAAUGUUUAAAUCCAUUUAAAGUGAUAUUAUUUGGAAUAAAAACUCUAAUUAUUAAAAUUAUUAAGAAAAAAAUGGGGAUAAUAAUUAGAUAACUUGCGCAAGAUUGUUAAUUAAUUUGCAUAUUAAUAACUUUCCUUAUUAUUCGAAUCAAUUGCUUGUGCCGGUUGUUAUCAUAUUUAUUACAUUAUUUGCGCAAGUUAAAAUCAUAUCAUAUGCAAAUCAUUUUUUGACAAUACACAAUUAAUAUCUUUCUUUAAACAAUUUCAAUCUUUAUUAGGGGUCAUUAAUAUGAUAAAUAAAUCGGCUUCAUAUAUAUAGGAGACACCUGAAUGCUUAAAAUACAAACAUUCAGCUCUUACAAGAACAAUGGCAAUGGUGCGAGCCUCCAAAAACAUUGUUUCUUAUGUUAGAGAAUUAAAACCCCGUCAGAAUGGUGGGCCGUACGUUUCUUGCACCGGUUGCAGCAGGAAGUUGGACAAAUCAUGGACUCAACUAUACCGCAACAAAUGUGUAUCACCCAUGAUCACCGGGGUUUUAAGGUAACAAAGAGUCUUACAUAUUCAUACCUAUAACCAUAUUCAAAGUUUAAAUAAGACUUGGGCGUAAACGUAAACUCCUCAUGUAUCACUUUGAGUUGGCUGUUGACGAUGUCCAUGAAAAGUAAUACGUUUGUUGUCAAUCCAAGAGGACAAAAAAAAAAAAUGUAACCACAGUCUCUCUUGAGGAGGUUAACGUCCAUAGUUACACUUAUUUAAUCUCUUGCUUCUCACCUGUUUAUAGUUAAUUGUCAUUUAAAAACUUUUACAACUGCGACAGGUUAAUGGCAGUGGAGGGUAUGAGCUUUCAAGCUGCCUUGCGGAUCUUGAUGGGCAGCAGUACCUUUUCCAAAUUCGGAUAACGCUCUAUAAUUUCACUCCCAGACACCGGACCUUCACAGUGUCUGCAAUCAGUGAUGAUAUUUGUUCCUCAAACUCAGUCAGAGGUACGCUACGUGAGGUACGAAUACAUUGUAACCCGGUUAAACAAAAAUGACCCACGUGAUCAUCAUUGAUUUGUUUCAGGGGGAAAGCAGCAGCAACCCUCCUCAGCUGGAUCUCCAAUCUAAGGAACCACACGCUUCUGCACGCAUUCCGGUGAUGAGACUCCAAACAUAAUGGAAGUUGAUCCCCACCAAUACCACUUAAUUUUGGAGCCGAAGAGACGAGCCGCAAACGCCCACGUGUGUUAUCCUAGCAAGUUCAGCAAACGUUUGUUCCCACUUAGAUUUGCUUCCCUAUUCUACAAACUCUGGAAUAAGCUACAGCUACUACUCUUUUCCUAUGUUUUAAGUUUUUUUUUUUGAUUUUUUAGUUACCUUCAAUCAAGCUUCCAGUGGGAGUGUAGUAAUUUGGCAACAUUAAUAAAGGGGACCUUGAUGGGUAUUUGUAAUUUGUCACAACAAAUGUCUGGUUUGUUCAUGCUUAAAUACACAUUACAUCCACAUCACAAAAGGAAUAAGCUACAACUUUUGCUGGCCUAAGG
rnacentral:lncRNA from 1 species